AGUGAACGCUGGCGGUAGGCCUAACACAUGCAAGUCGAACGGCAGCGCAGUAAGAGCUUGCUCUUACGGGUGGCGAGUGGCGGACGGGUGAGGAAUAAAUCGGAAUCUAUUUUUUCGUGGGGGAUAACGUAGGGAAACUUACGCUAAUACCGCAUACGACCUACGGGUGAAAGCAGGGGAUCUUCGGACCUUGCGCGAAUGAAUGAGCCGAUGUCGGAUUAGCUAGUUGGCGGGGUAAAGGCCCACCAAGGCGACGAUCCGUAGCUGGUCUGAGAGGAUGAUCAGCCACACUGGAACUGAGACACGGUCCAGACUCCUACGGGAGGCAGCAGUGGGGAAUAUUGGACAAUGGGCGCAAGCCUGAUCCAGCCAUACCGCGUGGGUGAAGAAGGCCUUCGGGUUGUAAAGCCCUUUUGUUGGGAAAGAAAAGCAGCAGGUUAAUACCCCGCUGUUCUGACGGUACCCAAAGAGUAAGCACCGGCUAACUUCGUG
rnacentral:rRNA from 1 species